UAAUUCGAAGCAACGCGAAGAACCUUUCCAGGUCUUGACAUCCUCUGAAAAUCCUAGAGAUAGGGCGUCUCCUUCGGGAGCAGAGUGACAGGUGGUGCAUGGUUGUCGUCAGCUCGUGUCGUGAGAUGUUGGGUUAAGUCCCGCAACGAGCGCAACCCUUGAUCUUAGUUGCCAGCAUUCAGUUGGGCACUCUAAGGUGACUGCCGGUGACAAACCGGAGGAAGGUGGGGAUGACGUCAAAUCAUCAUGCCCCUUAUGACCUGGGCUACACACGUGCUACAAUGGACAGAACAAAGAGCAGCGAAACCGCGAGGUGAAGCCAAUCCCACAAAUCCGUUCUCAGUUCGGAUCGCAGUCUGCAACUCGCCUGCGUGAAGCUGGAAUCGCUAGUAAUCGCGG
rnacentral:rRNA from 1 species